GACGAACGCUGGCGGCGCGCCUAACACAUGCAAGUCGUACGAGCGAGAGAGAGCUUGCUUUCUCGAGCGAGUGGCGAACGGGUGAGUAACGCGUGAGGAACCUGCCUCAAAGAGGGGGACAACAGUUGGAAACGACUGCUAAUACCGCAUAAGCCCACGGCUCGGCAUCGAGCAGGGGGAAAAGGAGCAAUCCGCUUUGAGAUGGCCUCGCGUCCGGUUAGCUAGUUGGUGAGGUAACGGCCCACCAAGGCGACGAUCGGUAGCCGGACUGAGAGGUUGAACGGCCACAUUGGGACUGAGACACGGCCCAGACUCCUACGGGAGGCAGCAGUGGGGAAUAUUGCACAAUGGGGGAAACCCUGAUGCAGCGACGCCGCGUGGAGGAAGAAGGUCUUCGGAUUGUAAACUCCUGUUGUUGGGGAAGAUAAUGACGGUACCCAACAAGGAAGUGACGGCUAACUACGUGCCAGCAGCCGCGGUAAAACGUAGGUCACAAGCGUUGUCCGGAAUUACUGGGUGUAAAGGGAGCGCAGGCGGGAAGACAAGUUGGAAGUGAAAUCUAUGGGCUCAACCCAUAAACUGCUUUCAAAACUGUUUUUCUUGAGUAGUGAAGAGGUAGGCGGAAUUCCCGGUGUAGCGGUGGAAUGCGUAGAUAUCGGGAGGAACACCAGUGGCGAAGGCGGCCUACUGGGCACCAACUGACGCUGAGGCUCGAAAGUGUGGGUAGCAAACAGGAUUAGAUACCCUGGUAGUCCACACCGUAAACGAUGA
rnacentral:rRNA from 1 species